CAGCUUGCUGCUUCGCUGACGAGUGGCGGACGGGUGAGUAAUGUCUGGGAAACUGCCUGAUGGAGGGGGAUAACUACUGGAAACGGUAGCUAAUACCGCAUAACGUCGCAAGACCAAAGAGGGGGACCUUCGGGCCUCUUGCCAUCGGAUGUGCCCAGAUGGGAUUAGCUAGUAGGUGGGGUAACGGCUCACCUAGGCGACGAUCCCUAGCUGGUCUGAGAGGAUGACCAGCCACACUGGGACUGAGACACGGUCCAGACUCCUACGGGAGGCAGCAGUGGGGAAUAUUGCACAAUGGGCGCAAGCCUGAUGCAGCCAUGCCGCGUGUAUGAAGAAGGCCUUCGGGUUGUAAAGUACUUUCAGCGGGGAGGAAGGCGAUAAGGUUAAUAACCUUGUCGAUUGACGUUACCCGCAGAAGAAGCACCGGCUAACUCCGUGCCAGCAGCCGCGGUAAUACGGAGGGUGCAAGCGUUAAUCGGAAUUACUGGGCGUAAAGCGCACGCAGGCGGUCUGUCAAGUCGGAUGUGAAAUCCCCGGGCUCAACCUGGGAACUGCAUUCGAAACUGGCAGGCUAGAGUCUUGUAGAGGGGGGUAGAAUUCCAGGUGUAGCGGUGAAAUGCGUAGAGAUCUGGAGGAAUACCGGUGGCGAAGGCGGCCCCCUGGACAAAGACUGACGCUCAG
rnacentral:rRNA from 1 species